rfam:Cavia porcellus supercont2_33 genomic scaffold, whole genome shotgun sequence.
GCCCUCAGUGGCUCAGUAGCCAGUGUAGAUCCUGUCUUUUGUAAUCAGCAGCUACAUCUGGCUACUGGGUCUCUGAUUACAUCU